UACAAGGAGGGGGCAAGCGUUUAUUCGGAAUUGAUUGGGCGGUAAAGGGCGCGUAGGCGGCAUCGCAAGUGGAAGGUGAAAUCCCUCGGCUUAACCGAGGAACUGCCCUCCAAACUGCGUUGCUUGAGGCCGGGAGAGGUGAGUGGAAUUCCCAGUGUAGCGGUGAAAUGCGUAGAUAUUGGGAGGAACACCAGUGGCGAAGGCGGCUCACUGGACCGGUACUGACGCUGAUGCGCGAAAGCGUGGGGAGCAAACGGG
rnacentral:rRNA from 1 species